AUGGUAGAAAUUGAAUCACUUUUUAUUUUGCUAUUCUAUAGAAAAUUUUAUAAGUCCAAGUUAACUGAAAUUUCUCAAUUCUUUUCCAAUUGUGUAUUGUAUUACCUACUUGAAUGAUAGCAGCACUCUACUACUACUGUUAUUAGCAACAAAUUGAUGUGAACUUUGCAACCCAUUUUCUUGCUUGCAAUAUCAAGAGUGACUUCUUAUUAUUUCUGGUUGAUAUGCAUCAAGUAUCCACUCCAGAUGCAGCACAGGUUG
rnacentral:misc_RNA from 1 species